rnacentral:rRNA from 1 species
UACGUAGGGUGCAAGCGUUGUCCGGAAUUAUUGGGCGUAAAGAGCUCGUAGGCGGUUUGUCGCGUCGACUGUGAAAUCCCGGGGCUCAACCCCGGGUCUGCAUUCGAUACGGGCAGACUAGAGUUCGGUAGGGGAGUCUGGAAUUCCUGGUGUAGCGGUGAAAUGCGCAGAUAUCAGGAGGAACACCGGUGGCGAAGGCGGGACGCUGGGCCGAUACUGACGCUGAGGAGCGAAAGCGUGGGGAGCAAACAGG